rnacentral:rRNA from 1 species
UACAGAGGGUGCGAGCGUUAAUCGGAAUUACUGGGCGUAAAGCGCGCGUAGGCGGUUUUGUAAGUCGGGUGUGAAAUCCCCAGGCUCAACCUGGGAACUGCAUUCGAGACUGCAAAACUGGAGUAUGGGAGAGGACAGCGGAAUUUCCGGUGUAGCGGUGAAAUGCGUAGAUAUCGGAAGGAACAUCAGUGGCGAAGGCGGCUGUCUGGCCCAAUACUGACGCUCAGGUGCGAAAGCGUGGGGAUCAAACAGG